UGACAUGCGAUGAUGUGAAAGGUUGCCUAACAAUUAUUUAGGGGAAUUUUCACGGAGAAUGUCCGGAUCUUGAAUCGGGCGACUG
rfam:Garciella nitratireducens DSM 15102 genome assembly, contig: BP36DRAFT_scaffold00020.20